rnacentral:rRNA from 1 species
CCUACGGGAGGCAGCAGUGAGGAAUAUUGGUCAAUGGGCGCAAGCCUGAACCAGCCAUGCCGCGUGCAGGAAGAAUGCCCUACGGGUUGUAAACUGCUUUUAUUUGGGAAUAAACCUUUCUACGUGUAGAAAGCUGAAGGUACCAAUUGAAUAAGCACCGGCUAACUCCGUGCCAGCAGCCGCGGUAAUACGGAGGGUGCAAGCGUUAUCCGGAAUCAUUGGGUUUAAAGGGUCCGCAGGCGGACCUAUAAGUCAGUGGUGAAAGCCUACAGCUUAACUGUAGAACUGCCAUUGAAGCUGUAGGUCUUGAAUUCGGUCGAAGUGGGCGGAAUGUGUAGUGUAGCGGUGAAAUGCAUAGAUAUUACACAGAACACCGAUAGCGAAGGCAGCUCACUAGGCCUGGAUUGACGCUCAGGGACGAAAGCGUGGGGAUCAAACAGGAUUAGAUACCCUGGUAGUCCACGCCGUAAACUAUGAUUACUCGUUUUCGGCGAUAUACAGUCGGAGACUAAGCGAAAGUGAUAAGUAAUCCACCUGGGGAGUACGGAAUCGCAAGGUUGAAACUUCGAAAGGAAUUGACGG